GCGCCCGUAGCUCAGCUGGACAGAGCAGGGGACUCCUAAGCCCAAGGUCAUCCGUUCGAAUCGGAUCGGGCGCACCA
rnacentral:tRNA from 1 species